CCACUGUUGAUGAGUCUCACGAUAGGACGAAACGGCCGUCCAGUGC
rnacentral:hammerhead_ribozyme from 1 species